AAGGCUUCGGGUUGUAACCCUUCAGUUGGGACGAAGCUCCGUCGGUUAAUAGCCGCCUGGAGUGACGGUACCUUCACAAGAAGCACCGGCUAACUACGUGC
rnacentral:rRNA from 1 species